GUGCUCCCUUUGGCAGCGCAUAUAGUAAAAUUGGAAUCAUACAGAGAAGAUUAUCAUGACCCCUGUGCAAGGAUGACACACAAAUUUGUGAAAUAUUUCAUAUUUUU